CAGUAAUGGCCCCUUGCAUUGACAGAAUCCUCGUAAAAGGAGAAGACCAAGACCUGGCUCAUGAAGUGGUAUUGAUUUUCUGAGUUCCUGCUCGAGUUGCCAAAGAUACAACACUGUUGUUAAGGAGAGGAGAUGCCUUGGCCUUCAAUAUCACAGGAGGGUUCCUCGGGACUUACCAAUUUGGGCUUCUUCCAGAGCUGAAAACCGAUUACAAAUACAAAACAGAUUUCACUACUGGACUUGAAUGCCAUAUAAAAAACAAGAUCUUCAAAAUAAUUGAAAAAGGUCCUCACCAAAGAAUAGAUGGAAUGUGAAUGGCAAGAUAUCAAGGAGGUUUUGGUAUUAGGUCUGAUGUGUAUCAGACCCUGAAAUGCUCGUGGAGUGAAUGAAGAAUUUCUGUCGGUACAUAAUGGGAACUAUACAGAGACAGCAAUGCAAUGUAUGUGGAUCCUACGGUCCCCAGAGAUGAAAGAUCAGACAGCUAGGACUGAAAGAGUCUCCUGCCACCAGCCACAUUCUCCUUCCAGUCAGCUGUUCUUCACCUUGAUGCCCAAGGGGGCGUUUCAAAAUCGUGAUGCCAAGAGUGUCCUCUUCCUUCUUCACCAUACCCUGGACUCCAUUUGCCACCUCCCGCUCUUCGUAGACAUGAGGAAUCUGAGAAAACAUUCACUAUCUGGAAUGCAGAACAAACCCUUCAUAAAUAUUUGGUAAAGCCCUUUGGUUCCAGCAGGAGAGAAGCAUGAUGAAGUGAGACACGGACAGCUCUAACCUGUCAGGCCAGAACCUGUGUCCAGCUGCAUGAUCUCUCCAGGAGGUGGCUAUUUUAACUUUUCUGGAUUUUUGGUCAAAGCAG
rnacentral:lncRNA from 1 species